CGAGAAGAAAAUAACAAAAGAAAAAAAAGGAGAGAGAGAAGAAAAGAAGAGAGAAAGAAAAGGAAUAAGGGUAUUUCAUCCGACGGCGAAAAAUCUGGCUCAAAUCUGCAAAAUUAAAAAAGGUGGUCCAGUUUUGAAAAAACUCAAAAUUUGUAAAUUUUUUAUGCAAAUUGGCCUUUUUUUUUUUGCUAAAUUUUUAAAAAAUAUGUAUAAAUAUUAGCCUUUUUUUAUUUUUUCUCUAACUUUUAAAAAUUAUAUUUUAUCUUCUUAAAAUUUCAGAAAUAUUUUCAAAGGAAUACGGUGUUAAUAGAGAGAGCAAAAUGACCAAACUAUCCUUACUUCUUUUAUAAAAAUAAAUAACUUUUUAAAUAUAUUUCUAUCAUUUUGAUAGGUAUUUUAGUAUAAAUUAAAAAAUGGAUAGAGUAGUCAUCGAACCCUGACAAUAGGGGGCUAAAUGCAACAACUUGAAAUAUUGAGAGAGUAAAAUAUAGAUUUUUUUGAUAGACAAUUUUUUAUAGCUUUUUAAGAUUUCUUUCUAUAGAAUAAAUUUUAAGAAAAUAGAAAAAUGAAUUUGAAAGUUUUUGAAUUAGAACUAGAUUAUAUUUAUAUUAAAAAAUUAAAAAUUGAUUAUAAUUAGAAUUAUGGUUUUAUUUAUUAAAACAGGGUCAACUUGGAAAAAAAGAUCAGUGGAGACAUCUUAAAAUA
rnacentral:lncRNA from 1 species